rnacentral:rRNA from 1 species
GUGGGGAAUAUUGGACAAUGGGCGCAAGCCUGAUCCAGCCAUGCCGCGUGAGUGACGAAGGCCUUAGGGUUGUAAAGCUCUUUUGGCGGGGACGAUAAUGACGGUACCCGCAGAAUAAGCCCCGGCUAACUUCGUGCCAGCAGCCGCGGUAAUACGAAGGGGGCUAGCGUUGUUCGGAAUUACUGGGCGUAAAGCGCACGUAGGCGGAUGUGCCAGUCAGGGGUGAAAUCCCGAGGCUCAACCUCGGAACUGCCUCCGAUACAGCACGUCUCGAGUCCGGAAGAGGUGAGUGGAAUUCCUAGUGUAGAGGUGAAAUUCGUAGAUAUUAGGAAGAACACCAGUGGCGAAGGCGGCUCACUGGUCCGGUACUGACGCUGAGGUGCGAAAGCGUGGGGAGCAAACAGGAUUAGAAACCCCGGUAGUCC